GGCAGACUCUGGCAGAGAUGGCGGGCAUGAUGACAAGUCUUCUCCUUUUGCUGUUGGCCGGUUUACUUAAAAAGGAUGGUGAAAGCAUAUUUCGGUGUGCAUCCAGGUGACCAGAUAACACAAGUUGAGAUCCAAGAAGAACCUGAAAGAAGGACAGACAUUAAUGGGAACCAUGACAUCGCUCUGCUGAAGCUACCUGAGCCUAUGAAGGGUCUUGAAACUGUAACACAUCCUGACUGUAACAAACGUACCGUACUGAGAGAGAUGAUACAGUUCAGAUUUCAGGACUUGGACCCACAACGGCAAACGCAGAUGGUGGAAAAGUGAAAUAGUUACAGUUAUUGCAUUGAACAGCUGUUUUCACCAGGCUGUCAGGAGGCUGAACUCUCCCCCCUCCCUCCCACCUCUCCCCCAUGCCCCCAUUGGACCUGGACUUUCACACCCCACACACACAUCCAGCACCAGACACUUUCUAAGCUGCAUUUGACAGUAUUUUGCACUAAUGUAACAUUUUUACUGCAAUAUAUUCAUCAUUCUAGUGAUUGUUAUUUUGUACAUAUUGACUGCCCCUUAA